rnacentral:rRNA from 1 species
GACGAACGCUGGCGGCGUGCUUAACACAUGCAAGUCGAACGGAAAGGCCUGCUUUCCCUUGUGGAUUGCGGGUACUCGAGUGGCGAACGGGUGAGUAACACGUGAGUGAUCUGCCCCCAACUUGGGUAUAAGCCUGGGAAACUGGGUCUAAUUCCCGAUAGGACUGCAGGGUGGUGCCUGUGGUGGAAAACGAUUUUCUAGUGGUUGGGGAUGAGCUCGCGGCCUAUCAGCUUGUUGGUGGGGUAAUGGCCUACCAAGGCGGCGACGGGUAGCCGGCCUGAGAGGGUGGACGGCCACAUUGGGACUGAGAUCCGGCCCAGACUCCUACGGGAGGCAGCAGUGGGGAAUAUUGCACAAUGGGCGGAAGCCUGAUGCAGCGACGCCGCGUGGGGGAUGACGGCCUUCGGGGUGUAAACUCCUUUCGACCGCGAGGAAGCCACCUGGUGGGAAGGGUGGUGACGGUAGUGGUAGAAGAAGCACCGGCUAACUACGUGC